GCAAAUCAACAAGCAGCAGCUUCAAAGAAUUUCAAUUUUACUUCAAUCAUAUUAAAAUGUAAAUUACAUCUACAAUUUGUUUGCUAAAUAUGCUGAUUCUUAUUUAUCUUUUAAAAUGUUAUUAGUAGGAGAUUAAACCAUUCCCCUCUUCCACUUCCUGAAGUGAAAUUAACUGAGCCCUGCUGUAAACACUCUCACACAUUCUCUGCAGUGCAACCAAGGCAGGCAUUAUCUUAUUGUGUGGCCAGUUCAGAUGAAAAAUGGUGUACAAUUGUUCUAAAUUAGUGACAGUUGUGUUUCAUUGACCAGCUCAGAAGAAAGGACUCAUUUGUCUUUAGCCGAAGAGCUUAAGAGUGACUGAGUUUUAGGCAGCAGUGAUCAGAUGGAUGGAUGGACACGGUCAUGUUAUUGAGGGUGGUUAUUGGAUCAAGUCAAGCUCUCAGUGGGACACUAAAUGUCUGCAGUUACCAAUUGUUGCAUCAUGUGGCAGAAAAACACAAAAGAACUCUCUCCAGGUCAACUUUCCCACUGAGACAGAGAAAAUUGUGUUUGUGCCAAUCUUUAGACUUACACGCGCACACACACACACGGACCAACACUGUUGCUGUUGAAAUUUUAACACACAACCACACAAACGUGUAUGCUCUCUAAUUGCCUGCUUUCAGUGAGAGAGGGCCAUUUUGACUGAGACUGUAAGCUUUUCAUUUUGAGGGGCCGCAAAAGAGCCAACUCAAUUAGCAGUCAGCCACAAACUGUGUGUGUGUCUUGGCUAAUAAAGGUUCAGAGUUGUGUUCAUGUGCACACAAUGGACACUUCUCUCAGUGACAUGUCAA